CAAGUCGAACGAAGUAGCAAUACUUAGUGGCAGACGGGUGAGUAACAUGUGGGUAUCUACCCUUUGGCCUGGAAUAACACGAGGAAACUUGUGCUAAUACCGGAUAAGUCUUUACGGAGAAAGCUUUAUGCACCAUUGGAUGAGCCCGCACUUGAUUAGUUUGUUGGUAGGGUAAUGGCCUACCAAGACUAUGAUCAAUAGCUGAUUUGAGAGGAUGAUCAGCCACAUUGGGACUGAGACACGGCCCAAACUCCUACGGGAGGCAGCAGUGGGGAAUCUUGCACAAUGGAGGAAACUCUGAUGCAGCGAUGCCGCGUGAGUGAAGAAGGCCUUUGGGUUGUAAAGCUCUUUCGUCGGGGAAGAAAAUGACUGUACCCGAAUAAGAAGGUCCGGCUAACUUCGUGCCAGCAGCCGCGGUAAUACGAAGGGACCUAGCGUAGUUCGGAAUUACUGGGCUUAAAGAGUUCGUAGGUGGUUGAAAAAGUUGGUGGUGAAAUCCCAGAGCUUAACUCUGGAACUGCCAUCAAAACUUUUCAGCUAGAGUAUGAUAGA
rnacentral:rRNA from 1 species